UGGGGAAUUUUGGACAAUGGGCGAAAGCCUGAUCCAGCAAUGCCGCGUGUGUGAAGAAGGCCUUCGGGUUGUAAAGCACUUUUGUCCGGAAAGAAAUCCUUGGCUCUAAUACAGUCGGGGGAUGACGGUACCGGAAGAAUAAGCACCGGCUAACUACGUGCCAGCAGCCGCGGUAAUACGUAGGGUGCAAGCGUUAAUCGGAAUUACUGGGCGUAAAGCGUGCGCAGGCGGUUUGCUAAGACCGAUGUGAAAUCCCCGGGCUCAACCUGGGAACUGCAUUGGUGACUGGCAGGCUAGAGUAUGGCAGAGGGGGGUAGAAUUCCACGUGUAGCAGUGAAAUGCGUAGAGAUGUGGAGGAAUACCGAUGGCGAAGGCAGCCCCCUGGGCCAAUACUGACGCUCAUGCACGAAAGCGUGGGGAGCAAACAGGAUUAGAUACCCUGGUAGUCCACGCCCUAAACGAUGUCAACUAGUUGUUGGGGACUUCAUUUCCUUAGUAACGUAGCUAACGCGUGAAGUUGACCGCCUGGGGAGUACGGUCGCAAGAUUAAAACUCAAA
rnacentral:rRNA from 1 species